AUCCCCUCCCAAAUUGAUAUAGAACCUUCACAAGAACACAUGGAGCAACUGCGAAAAGAAAUGACUGAGGAUAUACUAAAAAUGUCUGAGUUCAACAAAGCCAACAACUGCUUCAUGUGUGCCACUGAUAAAGAACCUGGAUGUGGCCCAAAGACUGACUGGAUUGAAUGUUUUGCAUGCCAACGGUGGUUCCAUGUGCUGUGCCUAGGAAUGAAGACAAAAUAGUUAAACA